UUCCGGUUGAUCCCGCCGGACCUGACUGCUAUCGGAUUGAUACUAAGCCAUGCGAGUCUUUGUAGUAAUACAAGGCAGACGGCUCAGUAACACGUAGUCAACCUACCCUAUGGACGAGAAUAAUCUCGGGAAACUGAGCAUAAUUCUUGAUAGAUCAUAAUGCCUGGAAUGGUUUAUGGUUAAAAUGAUUCGUCGCCAUAGGAUGGGACUGCGGCCUAUCAGCUUGUUGGUGAGGUAAUGGCCCACCAAGGCGAUUACAGGUACGGGCUCUGAGAGGAGAAGCCCGGAGAUGGGUACUGAGACACGGACCCAGGCCCUAUGGGGCGCAGCAGGCGAGAAAACUUUGCAAUGUGCGAAAGCACGACAAGGUUAAUCCGAGUGAUUUCUGCUAAAGAAAUCUUUUACCAGUCGUAAAACCGCUGGUGAAUAAGGGGUGGGCAAGUUCUGGUGUCAGCCGCCGCGGUAAAACCAGCACCUCAAGUGGUCAGGAUGAUUAUUGGGCCUAAAGCAUCCGUAGCCGGCUUUGUAAGUUUUCGGUUAAAUCCAUGUGCUCAACGCAUGGGCUGCCGAAAAUACUGCAUAGCUAGGGAGUGGAAGAGGUAGACGGUACUCAGUAGGUAGGGGUAAAAUCCUUUGAUCUAUUGAUGACCACCUGUGGCGAAGGCGGUCUACCAGAACACGUUCGACGGUGAGGGAUGAAAGCUGGGGGAGCAAACCGGAUUAGAUACCCGGGUAGUCCCAGCUGUAAACGAUGCAGACUCGAUGAUGCAUUGGCAUAAUAGCCAUUGCAGUGUCGCAGGGAAGCCGUUAAGUCUGCCGCCUGGGAAGUACGUACGCAAGUAUGAAACUUAAAGGAAUUGGCGGGGGAGCACCACAAGGGGUGAAGCCUGCGGUUCAAUUGGAUUCAACGCCGGG
rnacentral:rRNA from 1 species